CAAAAACAUCGCCUCUUGACAAACUAUAAGAGGUCCAGCCUGCCCAGUGACUCUGUUCAACGGCCGCGGUAUCCUAACCGUGCGAAGGUAGCGUAAUCACUUGUUCUUUAAAUGAGGACUAGUAUGAAUGGCACCACGAGGGUUAUACUGUCUCCUUUUUCUAAUCAGUAAAACUAAUCUUCCCGUGCAGAAGCGGGAAUGAACCUAUAAGACGAGAAGACCCUAUGGAGCUUUAAACUAAGUCACAUUUGUUUUACUCUCUACCCCUCCCCAGAGAAGUCAUAAACAUUUUAACAAACUGAUGACUAGUUUUCGGUUGGGGUGACCGCGGAGCAGAAAAAAACCUCCACAUUGAAAGGAAUUUUAAUCCUAAGCCAAGAGCCACAACUCUAAGCAUCAAUAAAACGACAUUAAUUGACCCAAUAUAUUGAUCAACGAACCAAGUUACCCUAGGGAUAACAGCGCAAUCCACUUCAAGAGCUCCUAUCGACAAGUGGGUUUACGACCUCGAUGUUGGAUCAGGGUAUCCCGGUGGUGCAGCCGCUACCAAAGGUUUGUUUGUUCAACGAUUAAAACCCU
rnacentral:rRNA from 1 species